AUUGAACGCUGGCGGCAUGCUUUACACAUGCAAGUCGAGCGGCAGCGCGGGGGCAACCCUGGCGGCGAGCGGCGAACGGGUGAGUAAUGCAUCGGAACGUAUCCUCGAGUGGGGGAUAACCCAGCGAAAGUUGGGCUAAUACCGCAUGAGCUCCGAGGAGGAAAGCGGGGGACCUGCGAGGGCCUCGCGCUGGAGGAGCGGCCGAUGUCCGAUUAGCUAGUUGGUGGGGUAAAGGCUUACCAAGGCGACGAUCGGUAGCUGGUCUGAGAGGAUGAUCAGCCACACUGGGACUGAGACACGGCCCAGACUCCUACGGGAGGCAGCAGUGGGGAAUUUUGGACAAUGGGGGCAACCCUGAUCCAGCCAUGCCGCGUGAGUGAAGAAGGCCUUCGGGUUGUAAAGCUCUUUCGGACGGAACGAAAUGGGCGGGACUAAUACUCCUGUCUGAUGACGGUACCGUAAGAAGAAGCACCGGCUAACUACGUG
rnacentral:rRNA from 1 species